UCUUCUACUACCAUCAGGCAAUUUAUUUUGGUGAGAUGAUACUGUAUUGGUAUGUUUGUCAGACUUGCUAAACAUUUUCAUACUGUAGGUGCAUUUAUUUAGAGGAAAUAAUUUACCUUGUUUUUCAAAUCACUAACAGGCAACCCAAUACUACGUUGUUAUGUUUCCAAAAUACGCAGACUAUAACGAAAAUCAGGCUACAUCAUCCUUUGUGUUUAAAGUAGCAGAAAGAAAUGGAGAAUAUUCUGUGAAUGACUGCACUACUUCCACUCUGAAAUUUUGAUAUGACCUUCAUUAAUAUUACUACUACACAUAAUUACAAGCACAUUACAAAAGCACAAGAAAAAAAGCUGCACAUUUAAGUAAUUCACUCUAUAACAAGGCUUGCUCCAAAUUAUGAUUUGGAGUGAAGAAGCAUCUGAUAAUUAUGAAGGACUUGGAUGUACACACAUGCUCCUAAACAUAUGCAAAAGGACUACCCAACUUCAGAUGUGAGUCAUCGAUAUUAAAGCACAGAAAGGACACCUUUGAACAGUGAAGGCAAGCCACAGGCCAGAUUUCUGCAGGGAUUUUUGAAGAGGAAAGGGCAGUAAGUAAGAAGAACAAAAGGACGUUAUUUUUAUAAUGAACAAUCAUUCUGAAAUGUGACGUAUGGCUGAAUACUUCUUCAAACAACAAAGAACCUUACUUUUAUUAGUCAUAAAAGACUUUUUGCAGUAAUGUGUACAGUCUGAUUGUUGGAAGACCCUUUCUUCAGCAAAUCAAAAAGCAUUGAAAACAUUAUUUGACUGACAGGACUGUUUUUAACUGACCUGUGAUGAUGAUGGUGAACUGGAAUGAAGAAUGACAAACAAUACUAAACUGUCAGUGGCCGUGUCUAUGAGACUGGUGAGAACAGCUCUUCUUAUCUGUUAAAAUUGGUGGAUCUGGCAAAACAAAAGCUGAAACAAAGGCUCUCCCAAAUCCCAUCCCAAUAACCUAUCAGUGCUCCCUGGAGCAGCAUUGGUGGUUUCUGACCCUGCACUCGAAUCACUCUGCUGGGAUGUUUUCUGCUCAGCGCUGGGGCCAGUUUUGCUUCCUGAACUUCAAGGGUGACAUCCUAGUUACACAGGAAAAAAAUGGCUUUGUUGUGAAUCCUACCAGGUAAAACUAACCACUGUGUCUUUUAUUUGGACUGUUAAAUUUAUUUCAAAUCCAGUGUUCAAAUGAGUAUAUCAUACCAUGAAGGCUAUCCGUAUUUUCUUUCAGCUCAGUAACGUUUUAAUAUAAUGGAAAAUGUAAUUGUUAAAGCAAAAGAUUCAGAGUGCUUCAAAGUAUCAGAGAAAAAGAGGGAAAACAGAUACUGCUACUGUUGUUAUAAUGUUGAUGUUAUAAUCAGAUAUUUAGAUAAGUGAUUGCCUUAGACUAGGAGCCUGAUUAACAGUAUUAUUUAUUAAAAGGUCAGAUUUGGAUAAAAUUGAAUUGCAAUUAGAACAUUUUGCUUGUAUGUCCAAAAUAAUAGAUAUAGUCUGCAGACAAUAUUUAAAUGUUCUAAGGAGAUAAACAUCUUAAUGGUCUCUCAACAGUACCGCUUUCUAUAAAACUUGACUUCAAAUAAUAACAGAAAAGUAAUGUACAAUCUAGUAAUGCAUGUUUAUAUCCCACUGACAUAUGUGGGUGUUGUGUAUAUGCUCUAGUCCAGAGCCUGGCAUUGUAAUAGCUUUGAACACACGACUGUGGAUUUAAUUAGAGAACUUCUUGGUUACUGCAAGGGGGCAAAAUCAGGUCCAAAAUACCUUGUGUUGUUAUUGAAAAGAAAAAGAAUCUGCUAGUAUUUGCUCUCACAACCUUUUAAGAUAUGUACUUACCACAUUAAAAUUUCACAACAAAUGCAUAAAACAAAUAAAGCUACACUCAUCAGUACACUAUUUUAGUUCCAGAAAAACACCUAGUAGAUUUUUCAAGGUUAAGAAAACAAUGAAAUAAGAGAGUGCCCAUUUGGUCUUUUCUCUUUUUUUAACUUCUGUGUCUGGCAUUCAUUAUCAUAAAAAAAAGUUAUCUUCAUUUGAA